rnacentral:tRNA from 1 species
AUGACUGUAGCUCAGUGGUAGAACAUCGGCUUGUCAUGCAGAAGAUCCCAAGUUCAAUCCUGGGCAUUUACA